rnacentral:piRNA from 2 species
UGUCCUGGAACUAACUCUGUAGACC